UUAAGCGACUAAGCGUACACGGUGGAUGCCCUGGCAGUCAGAGGCGAUGAAGGACGUGCUAAUCUGCGAUAAGCGUCGGUAAGGUGAUAUGAACCGUUAUAACCGGCGAUUUCCGAAUGGGGAAACCCAGUGUGAUUCGCCACACUAUCAUUAACUGAAUCCAUAGGUUAAUGAGGCGAACCGGGGGAACUGAAACAUCUAAGUACCCCGAGGAAAAGAAAUCAACCGAGAUUCCCCCAGUAGCGGCGAGCGAACGGGGAGCAGCCCAGAGCCUGAAUCAGUGUGUGUGUUAGUGGAAGCGUCUGGAAAGGCGCGCGAUACAGGGUGACAGCCCCGUACACAAAAAUGCACAUACUGUGAGCUCGAUGAGUAGGGCGGGACACGUGGUAUCCUGUCUGAAUAUGGGGGGACCAUCCUCCAAGGCUAAAUACUCCUGACUGACCGAUAGUGAACCAGUACCGUGAGGGAAAGGCGAAAAGAACCCCGGCGAGGGGAGUGAAAAAGAACCUGAAACCGUGUACGUACAAGCAGUGGGAGCACGCUUAGGCGUGUGACUGCGUACCUUUUGUAUAAUGGGUCAGCGACUUAUAUUCUGUAGCAAGGUUAACCGAAUAGGGGAGCCGAAGGGAAACCGAGUCUUAACUGGGCGUUAAGUUGCAGGGUAUAGACCCGAAACCCGGUGAUCUAGCCAUGGGCAGGUUGAAGGUUGGGUAACACUAACUGGAGGACCGAACCGACUAAUGUUGAAAAAUUAGCGGAUGACUUGUGGCUGGGGGUGAAAGGCCAAUCAAACCGGGAGAUAGCUGGUUCUCCCCGAAAGCUAUUUAGGUAGCGCCUCGUGAAUUCAUCUCCGGGGGUAGAGCACUGUUUCGGCAAGGGGGUCAUCCCGACUUACCAACCCGAUGCAAACUGCGAAUACCGGAGAAUGUUAUCACGGGAGACACACGGCGGGUGCUAACGUCCGUCGUGAAGAGGGAAACAACCCAGACCGCCAGCUAAGGUCCCAAAGUCAUGGUUAAGUGGGAAACGAUGUGGGAAGGCCCAGACAGCCAGGAUGUUGGCUUAGAAGCAGCCAUCAUUUAAAGAAAGCGUAAUAGCUCACUGGUCGAGUCGGCCUGCGCGGAAGAUGUAACGGGGCUAAACCAUGCACCGAAGCUGCGGCAGCGACACUAUGUGUUGUUGGGUAGGGGAGCGUUCUGUAAGCCUGUGAAGGUGUACUGUGAGGUAUGCUGGAGGUAUCAGAAGUGCGAAUGCUGACAUAAGUAACGAUAAAGCGGGUGAAAAGCCCGCUCGCCGGAAGACCAAGGGUUCCUGUCCAACGUUAAUCGGGGCAGGGUGAGUCGACCCCUAAGGCGAGGCCGAAAGGCGUAGUCGAUGGGAAACAGGUUAAUAUUCCUGUACUUGGUGUUACUGCGAAGGGGGGACGGAGAAGGCUAUGUUGGCCGGGCGACGGUUGUCCCGGUUUAAGCGUGUAGGCUGGUUUUCCAGGCAAAUCCGGAAAAUCAAGGCUGAGGCGUGAUGACGAGGCACUACGGUGCUGAAGCAACAAAUGCCCUGCUUCCAGGAAAAGCCUCUAAGCAUCAGGUAACAUCAAAUCGUACCCCAAACCGACACAGGUGGUCAGGUAGAGAAUACCAAGGCGCUUGAGAGAACUCGGGUGAAGGAACUAGGCAAAAUGGUGCCGUAACUUCGGGAGAAGGCACGCUGAUAUGUAGGUGAAGUCCCUCGCGGAUGGAGCUGAAAUCAGUCGAAGAUACCAGCUGGCUGCAACUGUUUAUUAAAAACACAGCACUGUGCAAACACGAAAGUGGACGUAUACGGUGUGACGCCUGCCCGGUGCCGGAAGGUUAAUUGAUGGGGUUAGCGCAAGCGAAGCUCUUGAUCGAAGCCCCGGUAAACGGCGGCCGUAACUAUAACGGUCCUAAGGUAGCGAAAUUCCUUGUCGGGUAAGUUCCGACCUGCACGAAUGGCGUAAUGAUGGCCAGGCUGUCUCCACCCGAGACUCAGUGAAAUUGAACUCGCUGUGAAGAUGCAGUGUACCCGCGGCAAGACGGAAAGACCCCGUGAACCUUUACUAUAGCUUGACACUGAACAUUGAGCCUUGAUGUGUAGGAUAGGUGGGAGGCUUUGAAGUGUGGACGCCAGUCUGCAUGGAGCCGACCUUGAAAUACCACCCUUUAAUGUUUGAUGUUCUAACGUUGACCCGUGAUCCGGGUUGCGGACAGUGUCUGGUGGGUAGUUUGACUGGGGCGGUCUCCUCCUAAAGAGUAACGGAGGAGCACGAAGGUUGGCUAAUCCUGGUCGGACAUCAGGAGGUUAGUGCAAUGGCAUAAGCCAGCUUGACUGCGAGCGUGACGGCGCGAGCAGGUGCGAAAGCAGGUCAUAGUGAUCCGGUGGUUCUGAAUGGAAGGGCCAUCGCUCAACGGAUAAAAGGUACUCCGGGGAUAACAGGCUGAUACCGCCCAAGAGUUCAUAUCGACGGCGGUGUUUGGCACCUCGAUGUCGGCUCAUCACAUCCUGGGGCUGAAGUAGGUCCCAAGGGUAUGGCUGUUCGCCAUUUAAAGUGGUACGCGAGCUGGGUUUAGAACGUCGUGAGACAGUUCGGUCCCUAUCUGCCGUGGGCGCUGGAGAACUGAGGGGGGCUGCUCCUAGUACGAGAGGACCGGAGUGGACGCAUCACUGGUGUUCGGGUUGUCAUGCCAAUGGCACUGCCCGGUAGCUAAAUGCGGAAGAGAUAAGUGCUGAAAGCAUCUAAGCACGAAACUUGCCCCGAGAUGAGUUCUCCCUGACUCCUUGAGAGUCCUGAAGGAACGUUGAAGACGACGACGUUGAUAGGCCGGGUGUGUAAGCGCAGCGAUGCGUUGAGCUAACCGGUACUAAUGAACCGUGAGGCUUAACCUU
rnacentral:rRNA from 1 species